CCGGCGAGCAGCUUGCGGGCGCGGGCGUCGGCGCUGUAGCCGUCGGCGGCAUCCAGCUCGUGGUGCAGGCGGGCGAUCGCGGCGCCGUCAUGGGCC
rnacentral:tRNA from 1 species